GAGUUUGAUCCUGGCUCAGGAUGAACGCUGGCGGCGUGCCUAAUACAUGCAAGUCGAGCGAACCACUUCGGUGGUGAGCGGCGAACGGGUGAGUAACACGUAGGUGAUCUGCCCAUCAGACGGGGACAACGAUUGGAAACGAUCGCUAAUACCGGAUAGGACGAAAGUUUAAAGGUGCUUCUGGCACCGCUGAUGGAUGAGCCUGCGGCGCAUUAGCUAGUUGGUAGGGUAAAGGCCUACCAAGGCGACGAUGCGUAGCCGACCUGAGAGGGUGAACGGCCACACUGGGACUGAGACACGGCCCAGACUCCUACGGGAGGCAGCAGUAGGGAAUCUUCGGCAAUGGGCGAAAGCCUGACCGAGCAACGCCGCGUGAAUGAUGAAGGCCUUCGGGUUGUAAAAUUCUGUUAUAAGGGAAGAACGACUUUAGUAGGAAAUGGCUAGAGUGUGACGGUACCUUAUGAGAAAGCCACGGCUAACUACGUGCCAGCCGCCGCGGUAAUUC
rnacentral:rRNA from 1 species